GUAUAGAGUUGUUGGCGUACAACUUUGAGCGGUGGAUCACUCGGCUCGUGUGUCGAUGAAGAGUGCAGC
rnacentral:rRNA from 1 species